GCAGUGUAGGACAUGCUCUGGGGAGAG
rnacentral:piRNA from 1 species